rnacentral:rRNA from 1 species
AACGAACGCUGGCGGCAUGCCUAACACAUGCAAGUCGAACGGGAUCCAGGCUUCGGCCUGGUGAGAGUGGCGGACGGGUGAGUAACACGUGGGAACCUGCCUUUUGGUUCGGGAUAACCGCGGGAAACUGCGGCUAAUACCGGAUGCUCCCGAGAGGGGAAAGAUUUAUCGCCAGAAGAGGGGCCCGCGUCCGAUUAGGUAGUUGGUGAGGUAAUGGCCCACCAAGCCGACGAUCGGUAGCUGGUCUGAGAGGAUGAUCAGCCACACUGGGACUGAGAUACGGCCCAGACUCCUACGGGAGGCAGCAGUGGGAAUAUUGGACAAUGGGGCAACCCUGAUCCAGCAAUGCCGCGUGAGUGAUGAAGGCCUUAGGGUUGUAAAGCUCUUUUGCCAGGGAAGAUGAUGACUGUACCUGGAGAAUAAG